CAAAAGGCACUGUUAGGCUUCUAUUUUCUUCGCUUCCAGUAGGUGGUGCUGUGCCUUCCAGGCUAAGAUUUUGCCCUCUGGCUGUAGGAUACAAUCUGUGUGAGGCCGCUCCCUCCUCCAGCACCUGGUGUCUCUCAAAACCUGUUAGCUUAGGUUUAUUCCUGGCCUCUAAUCUCCUCGCUUCUCCUGCUAGCCAGGCCUUCCCCAGUGUGAUGGCUCUCGGCAGUUCAAACUAUACUCUUGGGCCUGCAGUUUGCUGGAUGUGUAGCGCGGCUAUUGGGAACCGGCACCUUAUUGUUUUGAUUCCUUCCGCUUGCCACUCCCCCAGAGCUGGUGAGACAGGUUUCGUUUUCGCCGCUGAUGGGAGCGGGAGUUGGAGGUCAGGUGCCUUUACCUUUCCCCACGCCUCUAUUCACGCUCACUCUGAUAGUCCUGUCCCCGGAAAGCCGGGGAGAGAUUUUAUGCGAAUUCCCCACUGUAUGGGAGAUGGGCUGAAUGACACACACCUG
rnacentral:lncRNA from 1 species